ACACAACGGAGCUGCAACUGCAGAAGGAGGAAAAAUAGAGCGCGCCAGGAGACUCAAGGAUCCCACCAGGACGGUACGGGACAGUGGACCUAUAUUAGACUCCACUGGUGCGGGAAUAACUCAAUAGAGAGGACAUGGGGAAUACUCUCCAGCCAGAGCAGAAGCAACAUAUUCAGUUUCUGCAAUGUGGAGUGCCAUCCUAAGAUCUCUCGACUCCACAUUUUUUGAAAACUUCUGAAGCAGGAACUCCUCUAGAAGAGAAGCAGGAGUGGUCAACAUCUUCCAUGUUCACAGGGUCAACAAAGGAAACUGCUGUUUUCCAGAUGGAGUACACAACCUAUUCUUAAGCCAUUCUCCCACAUGGUAAGAAGUGAAUCAGUCACUUUAUCUUUAAUUGUAGUAGUGUAUGUAUAUUCAUAUGUCUAUUGAAAGUGAAAUAUUUUAGCAGUGCCAAAUACUUUCUGAAAGUGCCAUUCAGACAUAUGGUACAAUAUGUUUAUACCUAUUGCAGACCAUCUGCUGUCUAGGCUCAAUUGCACAUUUAUUUUACUUUUAAUUCACAAAGAAAAUGGAAAAUAGAACUGGCCCAUGUACCAUAAACUGGCUGAGCUUUAAGCAGGUGCAAAUUCAAUAAGAAAACAUACUUGGAACUAUAAAAACCUCACUUGCUCUGCCCCCAUGUGGGUAUAUAUUCUUUCCAAACCAAUACAAAUGUUUCAGCUCUUUAUGCUUAGAUCUGUUGUGUGAGUUUUUAAUAGGAUCAGGUGGGAUAAGACUGAUUUGGAAACAAGAGAACUAUAUAUCCUUUUGCUAAAAUGGUAAGGGAUAUGUAUAAUAAUGCUUACAGUGCAAUUUUCUUGGUGCCACACAGGUUUUAUAUUUAUAUAAAAAAAACUAUGAAGACUUUAUUCUUUUUAAAUGUUUGUUUUUAAUGUUGUAUAUAUUGUACCCAGAACUAAAAUAUAAUGUAAGAUUUCGAUAGAACAAACAUCUUUCUUAUUAAAAGUGUGAAAAUUUAUCAGAAACCAAACUACAGAUAUACAUUAAAAAAAAAAGAGCAAAUGGGUUAAUAUACUUGUAGAGCAAUUAAGCAACACUUGCAAUCUCUUUACUCCUGUGAUACAAAAGUAUUUUUGUAUAAUAGUUCUUUUUCCAAACAGCUCGUAUGUUCUGAUUGUUAACUCUAUGUAACUUUUUGAUAGGUGAUGAUUUGGGCUGACUUUUCAACUGAAUCAUUAUUAUUCCAAAGUUAUUUUGCCAGAAAAUAUUUGAAUAUUUAAAUUUGACUCUCUUUAACCUAAAAUAUUCUUCAUUGUCUGGCAUUAGGUAGGAAUUGUUGAUAAAUUUUUCAAAUAGAGGCUAAAUACAUCAUAGGUCAACAGGAGAUAUUUCUUUCACUUGAUAAUGUCCCUUAAUAUGUAAAGGAUGUAUAUCAAGUAUCAUUUGAAAUAUAAGUAAAAAAAUUAGAUUUUUUUUCUCAAAAUGUUUUGUCUAUGAAGAUGGGAAAUACAUAAUAUAUACUUACGUAUAUACAUACAUGCGUACAUACAAAUAAUGUCCUAUAAAGAAAAUAUAGAGGAGUUCCCGUCAUGGCACAGUGGUUAAUGAAUCCGACUAGGAACCAUGAGAUUGCGGGUUUGGUCCCUGGCCUUGCUCAGUGGGUUAACGAUCCGGUGUUGCCGUGAGCUGUGGUGUAGGUCGCAGACGCGGCUCGGAUCCUGCGUUGCUGUGGCUCUGGCGUAGGCUGGCAGCCACAUGUCCGAUUGGACCCCUAGCCUGGGAACCUCCAUAUGCAGCGGGAGCGGCCCAAGUAAUAGCAAAAAAGAAAAAA
rnacentral:lncRNA from 1 species